GGGGGCGACACGGUUUCGACGGAAGCUGUCGCGGCCCGAAGGCAUGCCGGGUGCCACCUGCCCGCAAUCGGGUGGAACGUUACAACUGCCAACUCGCAGUUGCCUCUCGCUGCCUAAUUAAACCUAGGUAGCGCGUCUCCUCGGGCGUUGUCUGCGCGCUUGAGAUGAGGCGUCAUACAGCAGGCUGGCUGGCGCUUUUCGGUCCGUAACGCGCCGGUAAGAUUAUCGGACUAGUCGGCGGCGCGUCUUGCUCGCUCUGAGCUUCGCCGACGAACUUGCGGCCUGCCCUCACGGGUCGGUUGCGACCGGAACGAGCUAAGCAUGUAGUCUUCGGGUGGCAAGGCUUCUCGGACGGGGGUUCGACUCCCCCCGCCUCCACCA
rnacentral:tmRNA from 1 species